rnacentral:rRNA from 1 species
GGUUAAAAAGCUCGUAGUUGGAUUUCUGUUGAGGAUGACCGGUCCGCUCUUUGAGCGCGUAUCUGGUUCAGCCUUGGCAUCCUCUUGGGGAACGCUACUGUGCUUGAUUGCAUGGGGCGGUAUUCAAGACUUUUACUUUGAGGAAAUUAGAGUGUUCACUGCAAGCGUUAGCAAUUGAAUACAUUAGCAUGGAAUAAUAAUAUAGGACCUUGGUACUAUUUUGUUGGUUUCUAGAACUAAGGUAAUGAUUAAUAGGGACAAUUGGGGGCAUUCGUAUUAACGCGUCAGAGGUGGAAUUCUUAGAUUGCGUUACGACGAACUACUGCGAAAGCAUUUGCCAAGGAUGUUUUCAUUGAUCAAGAACGAAAGUAUGGGGAUCGAAGACGCUUAGAUACCGUCGUAGUCUAUACCAUAAACUAUGCCAACUAGAGAUUGGAGGUCGUUCUCUUUAUGACUCCUUCAGCACCUUAUGAGAAAUCAAAGUCUUUGGGUUCCGGGGGGAGUAUGGUCGCAAGGCUGAAACUUAAAGGAAUUGACGGAAGGGCACCACCAGGAGUGGAGCCUGCGGCUUAAUUUGACUCAACACGGGAAAACUUACCAGGUCCAGACAUAGUAAGGAUUGACAGAUUGAGAGCUCUUUCUUGAUUCUAUGGGUGGUGGUGCAUG